rnacentral:rRNA from 1 species
AGAGUUUGAUCCUGGCUCAGGACGAACGCUGGCGGCGUGCCUAAUACAUGCAAGUCGAGCGAUGAUUAGAGAUAGCUUGCUAUCUUUAUGAAGAGCGGCGAACGGGUGAGUAACGCGUGGGAAAUCUGCCGAGUAGCGGGGGACAACGUUUGGAAACGAACGCUAAUACCGCAUAACAAUGAGGAUCGCAUGAUUCUUAUUUAAAAGAAGCAAUUGCUUCACUACUUGAUGAUCCCGCGUUGUAUUAGCUAGUUGGUAGUGUAAAGGACUACCAAGGCGAUGAUACAUAGCCGACCUGAGAGGGUGAUCGGCCACACUGGGACUGAGACACGGCCCAGACUCCUACGGGAGGCAGCAGUAGGGAAUCUUCGGCAAUGGGGGCAACCCUGACCGAGCAACGCCGCGUGAGUGAAGAAGGUUUUCGGAUCGUAAAACUCUGUUGUUAGAGAAGAACGUUAAGUAGAGUGGAAAGUUACUUAAGUGACGGUAUCUAACCAGAAAGGGACGGCUAACUACGUGCCAGCAGCCGCGGUAAUACGUAGGUCCCAAGCGUUGUCCGGAUUUAUUGGGCGUAAAGCGAGCGCAGGUGGUUUCUUAAGUCUGAUGUAAAAGGCAGUGGCUCAACCCAUUGUGUGCAUUGGAAACUGGGAGACUUGAGUGCAUGAGAGGAGAGUGGAAUUCCAUGGUGUAGCGGUGAAAUGCGUAGAUAUAUGGAGGAACACCGGAGGCGAAAGCGGCUCUCUGGGCCUGUAACUGACACUGAGCUCGAAAGGCGUGGGGGAGCAAACAGGAUUAGAUACCCUGGUAGUCCACGCCGUAAACGAUGAGUGCUAGCUUGUAGGGAG